UACAGAGGUGGCAAGCGUUGUUCGGAAUUACUGGGCGUAAAGGGCGCGUAGGCGGUUCGUUAAGUCCUGUGUGAAAUCCCCCGGCUCAACUGGGGAACUGCACAGGAAACUAGCGGGCUUGAGUUCGGGAGAGGGAAGCGGAAUUCCGGGUGUAGCGGUGAAAUGCGUAGAUAUCCGGAGGAACACCGGUGGCGAAGGCGGCUUCCUGGACCGACACUGACGCUGAGGCGCGAAAGCUAGGGGAG
rnacentral:rRNA from 1 species